UUGCAGUGAAACAAGGAGAGAGCAACAGUGUGACCGUCUAACCCUCCGAAAUACCGCAAAUAUACCGAUGAAAAACCAAACUUAUCCCAUUUAAGCGCCAUUUAUUUAAACAGUAUAACAACUUGAGUUAAACCUCUAACCACACUGUAUGGUUAGUGUUUAAACCGCGAAAAAUAAUACUGUUUUGUAAAUUAUUUUUGUAGAUCCAUCCUAUCCUUCCCCUUUACUUGCAAAAAAAAACCACGAUAUCUUCCACCUAAACUAUGCUGAACUACUUCAGUGAAGUUUAUUUUAGUACAAUCUGGUCGAUAAUGGGUUAAUCGUUCUCUGUCCAUGUAUGGAAAUCAUAUUCCUCGAUUUUGACCGACACCCCUAAAGAAUAACUUUUCUACAAGAUUGGCCAAUUUUGAGGACGCCUUUCUAUUGUAUUGUUUAUAAAAUAAUAUUUAAGCAAAAAAGGUUAAAGCAUAAAACGUAAAUGAGCAUAAAGUGAAACGUAUGUAUGUACAUAAGUGAGCAUGAAAUGUUACGCUUAUUUACUUUAAUUAGUAUUAAAACUCUGUUUUCCAAGCUGAUUUAAAUCAUUACUAAUUCAAUUUACUAUUUCAAAUAGAGACUGUUUCGGAAAUAUGCACUUGUAAAAACAAUAAUGAAAUCUAAAAUAUGAAUGCUUCAAUGCUAAAAGAGAUCUUAGUUGGGAAACAUUCCCCGAUGGUAACCAAAGUUCUCUUAAAAUUCUCGACCAACGUCGUACAAAGUCGCUCGAUUUCUCGCUCUCCCCGCCGUCUAGCGAGGUGUAUAGAUCGCUCUCAUCCUCCCACUCUUCCUCGCUAUCUUCCUCCCACUCUUCCUCGCUGACUUCAUAUGACAAUUUAUAGUGGAUAAUCAAAUACUAAAAAAAAGUACGGAAGCACAAAUUGAGACUUUAGGGAUGUCAAAAAAUUGUUAAAAACGAGUCAACGCAAAAUUCACAAAAAACUGAAACAAGCAAUCCAUGCCCCCAAAAACCCCAAAUGUCAAAUUCGAUGUCGUAUGAGACUGCUGGAAAAAUAUCAGUAUAGUUCGGAGUGUCGGUAGUUAAACACAUAAAAAUAAAAUUCUAAAUUUCUAAAUUUUGAAAAAUAUCUAUUUCGGCUUUUUUUUUCAAUUAGGUUUAAGAAUAAAAGUGAUUUGUCUUUUUUUUAGUUUUUAAAGUUAAGCAUAAAGUGAAUAAGGUCACUAACCAUACAGUAUACUGUAUGGUUAGUGAUGAGAUACAACAUAAUAAUACUUCUCCAAGAUACACAUCUAUUGAUUGUUUAACAAGAGCCGCCAGCAUAGAGUCCAUAUUCAUAAAUACCUGGCAAAAAAAAACUACAAAACUUACGGCUGUAAACUGUCGUGGCACAAUGAGGUACAACACACCCCUACACCCCUACACACCCCUACACACCCCUACAUAAAUACGGGAAUGGAUCUCAGGGCUCCGAGAAGACUCGCAAGUAGAACCAAUACUUUGUUCGACACUGAUUCGGCUAUCGGAAAAUAUAGACUGUGUUCAUCGGG